CGUGUGCUUACAAGUAGUCAGAGCCCGUUAAUGGGUGAUGGCGUGCCUUUUGUAGAAUGAACCGGCGAGUUACGAUUUGAUGCAAGGUUAAGCAGUAAAUGUGGAGCCGUAGCGAAAGCGAGUCUGAAUAGGGCGUUUAGUAUUUGGUCGUAGACCCGAAACCAGGUGAUCUACCCUUGGUCAGGUUGAAGUUCAGGUAACACUGAAUGGAGGACCGAACCGACUUACGUUGAAAAGUGAGCGGAUGAACUGAGGGUAGCGGAGAAAUUCCAAUCGAACCUGGAGAUAGCUGGUUCUCUCCGAAAUAGCUUUAGGGCUAGCCUCAAGUGAUGAUUAUUGGAGGUAGAGCACUGUUUGGACGAGGGGCCCCUCUCGGGUUACCGAAUUCAGACAAACUCCGAAUGCCAAUUAAUUUAACUUGGGAGUCAGAACAUGGGUGAUAAGGUCCGUGUUCGAAAGGGAAACAGCCCAGACCACCAGCUAAGGUCCCAAAAUAUAUGUUAAGUGGAAAAGGAUGUGGCGUUGCCCAGACAACUAGGAUGUUGGCUUAGAAGCAGCCAUCAUUUAAAGAGUGCGUAAUAGCUCACUAGUCGAGUGACACUGCGCCGAAAAUGUACCGGGGCUAAACAUAUUACCGAAGCUGUGGAUUGUCCUUUGGACAAUGGUAGGAGAGCGUUCUAAGGGCGUUGAAGCAUGAUCGUAAGGACAUGUGGAGCGCUUAGAAGUGAGAAUGCCGGUGUGAGUAGCGAAAGACGGGUGAGAAUCCCGUCCACCGAUUGACUAAGGUUUCCAGAGGAAGGCUCGUCCGCUCUGGGUUAGUCGGGUCCUAA
rnacentral:rRNA from 1 species